CCCGGUUUGGCACCGGCAGUCUCCCUAGAGUUCUCGGCAUUACCCGUUAGUAACUAAGGACAGGGGUUGCGCUCGUUGCGGGACUUAACCCAACAUCUCACGACACGAGCUGACGACAACCAUGCACCACCUGUGAACCGGCCCCAAAGGGGAAACCACAUCUCUGCACUUUUCCGGUGUAUGUCAAGCCUUGGUAAGGUUCUUCGCGUUGCAUCGAAUUAAUCCGCAUGCUCCGCCGCUUGUGCGGGCCCCCGUCAAUUUCUUUGAGUUUUAGCCUUGCGGCCGUACUCCCCAGGCGGGGCACUUAAUGCGUUUGCUGCGGCACGGAACUCGUGGAAUGAGUCCCACACCUAGUGCCCAACGUUUACGGCAUGGACUA
rnacentral:misc_RNA from 1 species